AAGUCGUAACAAGGUUUCCGUAGGUGAACCUGCGGAAGGAUCAUUAACACUAAUGAAAUCCAAAACCUUUUGGAUCAACCCAACCUUAGCGAACCGAUCGUUAUUUUCCUUGCCCCAUUAUUAAACCCAAAUAACCUCUGAUGUAAAGUGUCUGAUUCUUAUUCUUGUACCCCAUCAUAUCCACGCGCUCUCUCUCGAGAGAGUGUCGGGUAUGCGGUCAGGAAUCAAAAUCUAACGCAAUACAACUCUUAACAACGGAUAUCUUGGCUCUC
rnacentral:misc_RNA from 1 species